AACGUAGGGGACAAACGUUAUCCGGAGUUACUGGGCGUAAAGGGCGUGUAGGCGGUUAGUUAAGUCUGGCGUGAAAGCUCUCGGCUAAACCGGGAGAGGGCGUUGGAUACUGGCUGACUAGAGGACGGUAGAGGCGUGUGGAAUUCCGGGUGUAGUGGUGAAAUGCGUAGAGAUCCGGAGGAACACCAGUGGCGAAGGCGACACGCUGGGCCGUACCUGACGCUAAAGCGCGACAGCAUGGGGAGCAAACGGG
rnacentral:rRNA from 1 species